rnacentral:rRNA from 1 species
GACGGGGGGUCCUAGCGUUGUUCGGAAUCAUUGGGCGUAAAGCGUGUGCAGGUGGCUCUGCAAGUUGGAUGUGAAAGCCUUGGGCUUAACCCAAGAAGUGCAUUCAAAACUGCAAAGCUUGAAUAUGGAAGAGGGUCGUGGAAUUCCUGGUGUAGUGGUGAAAUACGUAGAUAUCAGGAGGAACACCGGUGGCGAAGGCGGCGACCUGGUCCAAUAUUGACACUCAUACACGAAAGCGUGGGGAUCAAACAGG